GUGGUUUGGCUUCGGCCCAUUUAGUGAAGUAGUCUAUUGCCACUACUGCGAAUCUGCAGUUUCCUUGUGCUACUGGAAGUGGACCAACUAGGUCCAUCCCCCAUCUCUAGAGAGGCCACGAGGAUGGUAUGAGCUGGAUGGGGAGUGAGGGUGCAUGUGUUUGCCUUGCUAUUUUUUGGCAUGCUUCACAGCUUUGUACAAGUAGAUGUGCAUCCGUGUGGACUGAUGGCCAG
rnacentral:lncRNA from 1 species